CCUACGGGAGGCUGCAGUAGGGAAUUUUCGUCAAUGGGCGCAAGCCUGAACGAGCAAUGCCGCGUGAACGAGGAAGGUCUUCGGAUCGUAAAGUUCUGUUGAAGGGGAAAAAGAGCGGAGAGAGGAAAUGCUUUCUGAUUGAUAUUACGCUUCGAGGAAGUACAGGCUAACUAAGUGCAAGCAGCCGCGGUAAGAAUUAGGGGGCGAGCUUUAUCAGGAAUGAUUGGGCGUAAGGGGUGCGUGGGCGGCCUGCUAAGUCUGGAGUGAAAGGUACCGGCUCAACCGGUACAGGCUCUGGAAACUGGCGGGCUAGAGAGCAGGAGAGGGCGGUGGAACUCCAUGUGUAGCGGUAAAAUGCGUAGAUAUAUGGAAGAACACCAGUGGCGAAGGCGGCCGCCUGGCCUGUUACUGACGCUGAGGCACGAAAGCGUGGGGAGCAAAUAGGAUUAGAUACCCGUGUAGUC
rnacentral:rRNA from 1 species